GUGGGGAAUAUUGGACAAUGGGCGAAAGCCUGAUCCAGCCAUGCCGCGUGUGUGAAGAAGGUCUUCGGAUUGUAAAGCACUUUAAGUUGGGAGGAAGGGCAGUAAGUUAAUACCUUGCUGUUUUGACGUUACCGACAGAAUAAGCACAGGCUAACUUCGUGCCAGUAGCCGCGGUACUACGAAGGGUGCAAGAGUUAAUCGGAAUUACUGGGCGUAAAGCGCGCGUAGGUGGUUUUGUAAGUUGGAGGUGAAAUCCCCGGGCUCAACCUGGGAACUGCCUCAGAAACUGCAUGACUAGAGUACGGUAGAGGGUAGUGGAAUUUCCUGUGUAGCAGUGAAAUGCGUAGAUAUAGGAAGGAACACCAGUGGCGAAGGCGACUACCUGGACUGAUACUGACACUGAGGUGCGAAAGCGUGGGGAGCAAACAGGAUUAGAUACCCCGGUAGUCC
rnacentral:rRNA from 1 species